CAGGCUAGAUACUAGAUUCUAGAUAAAGGCCUAGUCCUGAGUAUCUCUCUCCUCUGACCCUUGCUUCUUCGGACGGACACCGUGCGAAGCGGAGCGGUCGAUUACCGACCACGACACAUGUCACUGCUGCUGUCACCAUAGGAGUCAUCAAAGACUUUCUCUUGGCUCAAAUCUGUGGGUGAGGCUGGACAAGACAUUACAGCAUCAGUGGACGACAGGGUGGACUAGCAUGACCCCAGGCCAAAGUGAGUUUCAGUGAUUGGUACUGUUUCCUCUGCCAUUCUGCGACUUUUAAAUGCUUGGCAAUCUCAUGAACACUCUUCUCUAGUAAGGGUAUAAUCUCACUGAGGGGGCUCUCCUGAAACACUAGGUCUUUUGUGAGGCCUUUUCUUUUUUCCUGGGUCCAAGUAAUCCAAGUAUAUUUGGUAAACUGUGAGCAAGUUCCCAGUCAUUGAUGAUUGAUAUAAUUAUUGUUUCCCGAAACAAGAAGUUCCCGUUGAGUGUAGCCUGUCCCGGGUUUCAGGGAAGACAUCUUUUCCAAGUCUUUUCGAAAGCAUAUUAACAUAUUAUAUUUACAUUUCAUUUUACAUGAACAGAAUGUACUUUGUUUAUUCGUUUACAUGAACAUAAUGCGUUGUCAAUGAAACAAUGCUUUUGUGAUACCACCAAGUGGCAUUUUAUUCCACAUUCUCUUCCAUCCCACCAUUCAAAAGUCCCUGGGGUGGACGCUGAAAAGGAGAGAUGUGCAGCUAUGGACAUGUUCUUCCUGCUAUGAUUAUAGCUCUGGAUCCAAGUAAUCCAAGUACAUGUAUAUUUUGUAAAUUGUGAGCAAGUUCCCAGUCAUUGAUAAUUGAUAUAAUUAUUGUUUCCCGAAUUAUUGUUACCCAAAACAAGAAGUUCCCGUUGAGUGUAGCCUGUCCCGGGUUUCAGGGAUGACAUCUUUUCCAAGUCUUUAUUGUUGCAGUCAAUAACAUCGUCACUACAGGAGUACAGCUGGGAAUUGGACGUGUUGUUUGAAAAUGACAUAUCUCCCGCAAAAUGAAAUCCUGCCUCAAAGAUAUAAAAUUGUAGGGUUCAAGCUUCACUAGUUAUAUCAUUAUUAUACUGUACAUCUUCUUUUUUGUGAACCUUGUAAUUUUGAAAAGGUCUUCCGAUGUUCAGAUACAAAAUGUAAUUCUGCGAAUAUCUUGAUAACCAACUCGUUUCCAGUGGGUCACCUGUGGACGUGUGCCAGCUGCUAUGACUGUAGCUCUGGAUCCAAGUAAUCCAAGUAUCUUUUGUAAACUGUGAGCCAGAUCCCAUUCAUUGAUGACUGAUAUAAUUAUUGUUACCGAAACAAAAAAGCUCCCGUGUUAUUAUCUAGGCCUACAAUUGUCAUUGCCAAGGACCGAAAGCAACAGCACUUCGACCUUUGAGACAGAGAUGACACCUCCAGGCCUGGUAUACACAAACAUGUAAUUAUAUAACCUCUUUGGUAAACAGUGUCAGUGGGUGAUCCUUCGUACUGCGGCGAGCAUUCAUCAUGCGACACUUUUCUCCAUUAAAAAAUCCAAAUGUCAUUAAAAAAGUUAUUCCCCCUGGUGCAGUAAGAACUCAGGUCUUUGACUGUACUUACAUCGCUCUGUUUUAGUAACUUUUUCAAGAAAUCAAACUUCCACAGGGAAACUUACGUGUCGUGGACCUCUAGCAAGAAAUGAUUGUAAUGAACAGUGUACAUAUGUAGCAUUAUGGCAUGUCUGUGCUGAGUCUUUGUAUAUGUAGCAUUAUUUAUGGCAUGUCUGUACUGAAUCUUUGUACAUGUAGCAUUAUAAUGGCAUGUCUGUGCUGAAUAUCUUUGUACAUGUAGCAUUAUAAUGGCAUGUCUGUGCUGAAUAUCUAUGUACAUGUCUGCUGAUGUUCUGUGACAUCCUCGCCACAUGUCCCUCGUGGGUCAAUAAACUUUCUCCUAUCUUACAGAA
rnacentral:lncRNA from 1 species